rnacentral:piRNA from 1 species
UGUUAAACUAGUUUGUGCCAGUUUUCAAC